rnacentral:rRNA from 1 species
CCUACGGGUUGUGAAGGACUUUUGUCAGGGAAGAAAAGGCUGUUGCUAAUAUCGACAGCUGAUGACGGUACCUGAAGAAUAAGCACCGGCUAACUACGUGCCAGCAGCCGCGGUAAUACGUAGGGUGCGAGCGUUAAUCGGAAUUACUGGGCGUAAAGCGAGCGCAGACGGUUACUUAAGCAGGAUGUGAAAUCCCCGGGCUCAACCUGGGAACUGCGUUCUGAACUGGGUGACUAGAGUGUGUCAGAGGGAGGUAGAAUUCCACGUGUAGCAGUGAAAUGCGUAGAGAUGUGGAGGAAUACCGAUGGCGAAGGCAGCCUCCUGGGAUAACACUGACGUUCAUGCUCGAAAGCGUGGGUAGCAAACAGGAUUAGAUACCCCAGUAGUC